rnacentral:rRNA from 1 species
CCCUUAGAUGUUCUGGGCCGCACGCGUGCUACACUGAGUGGAUCAGCGGGUCAGGUUGCGCGAAAGUGUUUCCUAAUCUUGAAAUCCGCUCGUGAUGGGGAUUGACGGUUGCAAUUUUCCGUCAUGAACGAGGAAUACCUUGUAAGCGCGGGUCAUCAUCCCGCGCUGAAUACGUCCCUGCCCUUUGUACACACCGCCCGUCGCUCCUACCGAUUGAGUGGUCCGGUGAGGCUUUGGGAUCUGAGCGGAAAGAGCGUUUCGCUGUUUCUGCUCGGAAAACUCAGCCGAACCUUAUCAUUUAGAGGAAGGAGAAGUCGUAACA